GGGGACGGAGAAGGCUAGGUGGGCCUGGCGACGGUUGUCCAGGUUCAAGUGCGUAGGCUUAAGAGUUAGGUAAAUCCGGCUCUUUUUAAGGCUGAGACACGACGUCGAGCACCUACGGGUGUGAAGUCAUUGAUGCCAUGCUUCCAGGAAAAGCCUCUAAGCUUCAGAUUGUAAGGAAUCGUACCCCAAACCGACACAGGUGGUCGGGUAGAGAAUACCAAGG
rnacentral:rRNA from 1 species